GUUCACUUUGGUGACACACAUACUUACACUGGAGAGAUACUGAGAAGGUGGGCAUGGCUCCUGCCCAAGGAUGACCCACAAAUUCACAAAGUGUUCCAUAUUUGG